AAAACGACUCUCGGCAACGGAUAUCUCGGCUCCCGCAUCGAUGAAGAACGUAGCGAAAUGCGAUACUUGGUGUGAAUUGCAGAAUCCCGUGAACCAUCGAGUUUUUGAACGCAAGUUGCGCCCGAAGCCGUUAGGCCAAGGGCACGUCUGCCUGGGCGUCACGCAUCGCGUCGCCC
rnacentral:rRNA from 1 species